UGGGGAAUAUUGCACAAUGGGCGCAAGCCUGAUGCAGCCAUGCCGCGUGUGUGAAGAAGGCCUUCGGGUUGUAAAGCACUUUCAGCGAGGAGGAAGGUGGUGAGCUUAAUACGCUCAUCAAUUGACGUUACUCGCAGAAGAAGCACCGGCUAACUCCGUGCCAGCAGCCGCGGUAAUACGGAGGGUGCAAGCGUUAAUCGGAAUUACUGGGCGUAAAGCGCACGCAGGCGGUUUGUUAAGUCAGAUGUGAAAUCCCCGGGCUCAACCUGGGAACUGCAUUUGAAACUGGCAAGCUAGAGUCUCGUAGAGGGGGGUAGAAUUCCAGGUGUAGCGGUGAAAUGCGUAGAGAUCUGGAGGAAUACCGGUGGCGAAGGCGGCCCCCUGGACGAAGACUGACGCUCAGGUGCGAAAGCGUGGGGCAGCAAACAGGAUUAGAUACCCUGGUAGUCCACGCUGUAAACGAUGUCGAUUUGGAGGUUGUGCCCCUUGAGGCGUGGCUUCCGGAGCUAACGCGUUAAAUCGACCGCCNGGGGAGUACGGCCGCAAGGUUAAAACUCAAAUGAAUUG
rnacentral:rRNA from 1 species